rnacentral:rRNA from 1 species
AUUGAACGCUGGCGGCAUGCCUUACACAUGCAAGUCGAACGGCAGCACGGGUGCUUCACCUGGCUGCUGUUGGCGGCGGGGGGGGGAAUAACACGGGAAUAGUCCUGCUGUGGGGGUUAGACCAGUUAAAGCCGGAUUAGUUACUCCUGCGUGAUAUGGUGAACAGCGGGGGGCCUAAGGGCCAGGCGCUCUUGGGGUCGCUGAUAGCUGGAUCGGUGGUGGAUUAGCUAGUUGGUGAGGUAAGGGCUUACCAAGGCGACGAUUAGUAGCUGGCCUGAGAGGACGACCAGCCACACUGGGACUGAGACACGGCCCAGACUCCUACGGGAGGCAGCAGUGGGGAAUUUUGGACAAUGGGCGAAAGCCUGAUCCAGCAAUGCCGCGUGUGUGAAGAAGGCCUUCGGGUUGUAAAGCACUUUUGUCCGGAAAGAAAUCCUUGGCCCUAAUACGGUCGGGGGAUGACGGUACCGGAAGAAUAAGCACCGGCUAACUACGUG